rnacentral:lncRNA from 1 species
UUUAGCACUGUUAUCCAGGACUUUGGCAUGACUCGGAGUGAAGCUGAUCACUCUGUACCUAUUGCACUUCGGAAAGGUAUAAGGAACACCCUUAAUCCUAACCCCCAUUAUAUUGGUUUAAGUUAUAAUCGUUUGACAUCACCCUAUUGUGCUUUUCUAUCUUCUUUGUCCUCUGUUUCCAUCCCUAAGUCUACAGGUGAAGCAUUGUCUCAUCCAGGAUGGCGACAAGCUAUGAUUGACGAGACUCAUCAUCCCAUUGUGCAUUUGUGUCAUCUUUGUCCUCUAUAUCCAUCCCUAAGUCUACAGGUGAAGCACUAUCUCAUCCCGGAUGGCGACAUGCUAUAAUUGACGAGAUUUCUGAUUUACAUUCGAGUGGUACUUAGGAGCUUGUUCCUUUUCCUUCAGGUAAAUCAACUGUUGGUUGUCGUUGGGUGUAUGCAAUCAAGGUUGGUCCAGAUGGUAAGUUUGAUCGUCUAAAGGCUCGUCUUGUUGCCAAGGGAUAUACUCAGAUCUUUGGGCUUGAUUACAGUGAUACCUUCUCUCCCGUGGCUAAGAUAGCAUCAGUCCACCUUUUUCUAUCUAUGGCUGGUAUUUGCCAUUGGCCCCUCCUUCAGCUGGACAUUAAGAAUGCUUUUUUACAUGGUGAUCUUGAGGAUGAAGUUUAUAUGGAGUAACCACCUGGGUUUGUUGCUCAGGAGGAGUCUCGUGGACUUGUAUGUCGCUUGCGCCGGUCACUUUAUGGUAUAAAGAAGUCUCUUCGAGCCUGGUUUAGUAAGUUUUGUGUGGCCUUGUAUGUCGCUUGCACCAGUCACUUUAUGGUCUAAAGCAGUCUCCUCGAGCCUGGUUUGGUAAGUUUAGUACUGUUAUCCAGGACCUUGGCAUGACUCGGAGUGAAGUUGAUCACUUUGUAUUCUAUCGGCAUUCUGAUUCACGUCUCUGUAUUUAUUUGGUGGUCUAUGUUGACGACAUUAUUAUUACCGGCAAUGACUAGGAUGGUAUUACUAAAUUGAAGCAAAUUUUCUUUCAACACUUUCAGACUAAGGAUCUGGGUACACUAAAGUAUUUUCUGGGUAUUGAGGUCGCACAGUCUAGCUCAGGUAAUGUGAUCUCACAACGGAAGUAUGCCUUAGAUAUUCUUGAGGAGACAGGAAUGACAGGUAGUAAACCUGUUGACACUCCAAUGGAUCCGAAUUCUAAACUUCUUCCAGGACAGGGGGAGCCUCUUAACGAUCCUGAAAGAUAUAGGCGGUUAGUNNNN